UACGAAGGGGGCUAGCGUUGCUCGGAAUCACUGGGCGUAAAGGGUGCGUAGGCGGGUCUUUAAGUCAGGGGGGAAAUCCUGGAGCUCAACUCCAGAACUGCCUUUGAUACUGAAGAUCUUGAGUUCGGGAGAGGUGAGUGGAACUGCGAGUGUAGAGGUGAAAUUCGUAGAUAUUCGCAAAAACACCAGUGGCGAAGGCGGCUCACUGGCCCGAUACUGACGCUGAGGCACGAAAGCGUGGGGAGCAAACAGG
rnacentral:rRNA from 1 species